AACAAAUACUUAUCUCACCAACAUCAAUCAUCUACAAGGGGAGAGGUGAAGGUUAACACAUAGGAGUUGACAUCCUUAUACAAACCAACUAUGCUUGACUUUCAGGGACCGUCGAGCUUAUUCACUUCUGGUCUAUGCAGAGCAAUUUCCCGUCACCACGUUGGCUCCUUGUGACAGUCCUCAUCUUUGGACCUAAUCUCCGUACAGAGGAGAACCACCCAUGACAUGGAAGAUAAAUUGUUGGAGACCACGUAGUACACCUGCAGAGGAAUAGAUUAUCUUCCUACAAUGAAAGAGAUGAGAAAUGGGAUAUAUUUUAUGAUCAUCCAUAGAUCUACAAUUCCCUGGCCUCUGAUUCCAGACAUCUCAUUCUCAAGUGUAUCAGUUCUGAAAUAGCUUUUUCUUCCCAUUAAUUGCAAUGUAUCAGGAAUGUUAAUGUCCCCCUGCUUUUAUAUAUAAUCCUUUGCCUCCCUUUUUUGACCUGCUGGUUGUAGCAGCAAGUAGCUUUCUUAGUACCACCCAUGUAGAAGCACUGCAGUGCUAAGACCACCUUAAUAGGCAGUUUUGAAGGUGAUGCAAAUAAAGAAGUGGAAGUA